rnacentral:SRP_RNA from 1 species
GCUGGGCGUGGUGGCGCACGCCUGUAAUCCCAGCUACUCAGGAGGCUGAGGCACGAGAAUCACUUGAACCGGGGAGGCAGAGGUUGCAGUGAGCUGAGAUUGCACCACUGCACUCCAGCCUGGGUGACAGAGUGAGAUUCUGUCUCAA